rnacentral:rRNA from 1 species
AGUGAACGCUGGCGGUAGGCCUAACACAUGCAAGUCGAACGGCAGCACAGUAAGAGCUUGCUCUUACGGGUGGCGAGUGGCGGACGGGUGAGGAAUACAUCGGAAUCUACUUUUUCGUGGGGGAUAGCGUAGGGAAACUUACGCUAAUACCGCAUACGACCUACGGGUGAAAGCAGGGGAUCUUCGGACCUUGCGCGAUUGAAUGAGCCGAUGUCGGAUUAGCUAGUUGGCGGGGUAAAGGCCCACCAAGGCGACGAUCCGUAGCUGGUCUGAGAGGAUGAUCAGCCACACUGGAACUGAGACACGGCCCAGACUCCUACGGGAGGCAGCAGUGGGGAAUAUUGGACGAUGGGGGCAAGCCGGAUCCAGCAAUACCGCGUGGGUGAAGAAGGCCUUCGGGUUGUAAAGCCAUGUUGUUGGGAAAGAAAAGCAGCAGGUUAAUACCCCGCUGUUCUGACGGUACCCAAAGAAUAAGCACCGGCUAACUUCGUG